ncrna:unclassified sequences Streptococcus sRNA SpF59 (ldcC RNA)
CGACCGCUAAGAAAUUAGCUGAGGCCACACGGACAGCCGGGUCGGACGCCGA